rnacentral:lncRNA from 1 species
AUGCAGGCAGGGAUGAGGCGGCCCGGCGGCAGCUCCCGGCGGCGGGCGGGUGAGGCUGUGCUCGUUGGUGCUUACUGCGCGGCGCGGGAUGCUCGCCCCGCUGCCCCAGCGCACAGUUUGGGGUCACUUCGGUGCUGUCCUGCUCUCGGGUGCCUUUUCCCUUCUCUAGCUCACAUCAGCCAGCUGCGGUUUGGCAGAUUGCCCUCUUUAGGGCUCGUCUUGCAGGUGGGACAUUUGGGGCUGGCACACGGGACAGAGCAGCCUCGCGUGCCCGUGCUGAAGUGCCCCAGCCCACGCUGUUCCCAACCCCAAACACCGUCAGCGCUGUUGAGGUUGGUUGUCCUCCCUGGGCUGGAGCAGGCAUGGGGCAGCGGGCCCAGCUGCUGGGUUUUGGGGUGCAAUUCCCCUUCCUGGUCAUGGUUUCCCCCACGUUUUAAGGAUGCUAAUCUUGGCGCUCCCCCGUCGUGCCUCCUUCCCAGCCCUGUUAGAGGUCACUGCGCUGUGGCACACGGGGCCUUGCACCGCUCCUUCCGCUGCCUGGCCGCGAGCCCGGACAAACAAACCUCAGGGCAGCAGCUCCGCGGAGCAGGAAACCAGGGAGCUGCCUGGCUUAGUGGCUACUUCAGAUCUCUCCAGAGCACGGCUGAAAUUCAGCAAAGAAUAAACCACCAGACAGGCCCUUACCAGAAAACAGCUUUUGAAGGAGUCAAGAGCAGGUUCUGCUUUCCCUUCCCACAGUUGCUAAGGAAACGGGAGAGAGGGCCCGGGAGCCAUUAG